AUGAAGGAGCUCAAGUCUGUCGCCUAUGAGGCUGACGACGUGCUCGAUGAUUUCCAGAAUGAAGCGUUGCGUCGCCAGUGUAAGAUAGGAAGGUCCACUACCCUUAAGGUGCUCAGCUGCAUAACCCACAAUAGCCCGCUGCUCUUCCGUUUUGAGAUGAGCAAGAAACUCAUGAAUGUCCUAAAGAUCAAUAAGCUGGUUAAGGAGAUAAACAAGUUUGGAUUGGAGAAUUCUGUCCAUAAGGAGGAGGAGCAACAUCCUUGGCGGGAAACACACUCAAAACCGGACGACUUUACAAAGAUCUUUGGAAGGGACGAUGAUAAGGAGGUGGUGGUGAAGUUAUUGCUUAACCAGCAAGCUCAGCGGAAGGUGCAGGUUCUGCUCAUCUUUGGGAUGGGAGGUCUUGGAAAGACGACUCUUGCCAAGAUUGUGUAUAAUGACCAAGUGGUCCACCAACAUUUCCAGUUGAAGAUGUGGCACUACGUGUCAUACAACUUUGAUGCCAUUGCUCUUCUGAAAUCCAUCAUUGAGUUGGCUACAAAUGGAAGUUGUGACCUGCCUGGUAGCAUCGAACUAUUGAAAAAGCGACUGGAGCAAGUCAUUGGCCAAAACAGGUUUAUGCUCGUGCUUGAUGAUGUAUGGAAUGAAGAUGAGAGGAAGUGGGAUGUCGUGAAGCCACUAUUGUGUUCUGUUGGUGGACCAGGAAGUGUUAUAUUGGUCACAUGCCGAAGCAAGAAAGUGGCCUUCAUUAUGUGCACGGUUAAGCCCCAUGAGCUCAUAUUUUUGAGUGAAAAAGAUUCAUGGGAGUUGUUUUCAUGCAAAGCAUUUAGCAAUGGUGUAGAAGUGCAAGCAGAGUUAGUUACCAUCGGAAGGUGUAUUGUCAAUAAAUGUGGGGGUUUGCCUAUUGCUCUCAAGACAAUGGGUGGAUUGCUAAGUUCAAAGCAAAAAGUACAGGAAUGGAAGGUCAUUGAACAAAGUAACACUGGGGAUAAUGUUGGAGGCAAAUAUGAGGUCAUGCCCAUACUAAAGUUAAUCUACAAAUACCUGUCAUCAGAAAUGAAGCAAUGUUUUGCAUUCUGUGCAGUUUUUCCCAAGGAUUAUGAAAUAGAGAAGAAUAGAUUGAUUAAACUAUGGAUGGCUAAUGGCCUUAUUCAAGAAGAAGGAACAAUGGGUUUAACACAGAAAGGAGCAUUCAUUUUCAAUGAGUUGGUUUGGAGGUCCUUCCUCCAAGAUGAGAAAGUGGUAGUCAAAUACGGUGUCUACGAUGGUAACACACCAUAUAAGACAAUAGUAUGUAAAAUGCAUGACUUAAUGCAUGAUUUAACAAAAGAUGUCACAGAUGAAUGUGCAAGUACAAAAUAA
rnacentral:rRNA from 1 species